rnacentral:hammerhead_ribozyme from 1 species
AUCCGGCUGACGAGUUUUAAGUAGGACGAAACGUACGUCCCGGAU